rnacentral:rRNA from 1 species
GUGAGGAAUUUUGCGCAAUGGCCGCAAGGCUGACGCAGCAACGCCGCGUGGGUGAUGAAGGCCUUCGGGUCGUAAAGCCCUGUCAGGUGGGAAGAAAGGCCUUAAGGAGAAACGCUUGAGGUUUGACGGUACCACCAGAGGAAGCACCGGCUAACUCCGUGCCAGCAGCCGCGGUAAUACGGAGGGUGCGAGCGUUAUUCGGAAUUACUGGGCGUAAAGCGCGUGUAGGCGGGGGGACAAGUCUGAUGUGAAAGCCCUGGGCUUAACCUGGGAAGUGCAUUGGAAACUGUUUUUCUUGAGUACUGGAGAGGAAGGGGGAAUUCCCGGUGUAGAGGUGAAAUUCGUAGAGAUCGGGAGGAAUACCAGUGGCGUAGGCGCCCUUCUGGACGGUAACUGACGCUGAGACGCGAAAGCGUGGGGAGCAAACAGGAUUAGAAACCCUAGUAGUCC